UGCAGGAAGAUCACCGUUAGCCCGCGUCGUGUUUUCCUCUGUUGAAGAUGGAUUUGGUCCCUCAGCCCUCUAAAAGUUAAGUGGAGGCACGAGGGCUUGGAAGGGGCUGGGAAUCGCAGGGAGGGUUUUAAGUUCUGAGACAGAAAAGGGCAGUCCCCUUUGGGCAGAGAAAUGGGGUCAGACAACUUUAUAGUGCGAUGCCAGCGUGUGCCGGGCAGGGCCGCUCCAGCCCGCGUCUGUUGUCGUGUAGUUUGGGGAGCGUGCUUCGUGUCUGUCAGACGAUCUCGGGUAUCAUUGCGUUCCAGGGGCAAGAAAGUCAUUUCAAGCGCCAUCCCGGGGUCUGGAAAGCCGGUGCCGAUCGACGUAGCGCUAAUCGGCUGCUGGUUUUCUUGUAUCAGCCGUCGAAAGGGUACACGGUUCUUGUAUCUUGAAUGUUUUUUGUCAGUUGUUUUUUAUGGUGUAGUUCUGGGCUGCAACAGCAGCUCUCAUCUCUGCUUAUCCAGUCUAAGGGACUGGCACUUCUUCCCAGCAUCUUGAAGGUUUUAAGUUUUGCAGCAGCUUCUCGUAUUUGUGCCGUCUCCGCAUGUUUGCGCCAGGGCUGCCGUCUCGUAAGAGUCCGUGACGUUCGGCUCCUUUUUUUUCUGGGGUGGCAUUAGAGGCUCCUCGCCUCACCACUGCCUCCCCGCAGGUUAUUUUUAUCGUUGCUGUCUCUGAUUUGGAGUUAUUUUUGUUGUGGAGCAUUUUUGGUGUUGUUGCUGUCGGGUCGUCUAUAAUGUUGUGUGGAGCAUCUGUCUAAGCACGUGCGCAUUUGGCUCGGAGCUGCUCUGCCCGGAGGUGUAGAGUUAGGAGCGGGUGGACCGAGCUUUAGGAGUCCACGAUUGAUCUGUGGACAUGUUAUCCUGCGUAGGCAUAGGCUGUGCGGUCAUCUGGGACGGAGUAGCUGUGGGCAGGGGAGCGGACAGUCCGUACCGCAGUGGUUUUUGGGACUCAAUUAGACCUUAUUGUGUGAUUCCUGAAUAGAAAGCAGACCUGUGGAAUGGUCAAGCUGUUGAUGAGCUCCUGGUUACCUUGUUGAAUACCUUGAUUUCAGAUGCAGAGGGACAACUUGGCACGAAAGAGCGACGGAGGAGGCGAGCCGAGCGCCGUAAGCAAGCAGGUGCGAAGCAAAGUGGAAAGCUGGGUAUCGGCAGCGCAGCUCCUCUGGCAAGAUGUUGAAGAGGAACCCAGCGAUGCAGGAAGAUCCCUGUUAGCGCGUGUGGCGUUUUCUUCGUCGAAGAUGGGUUAGGUCCCUCGGCCCUCUGAAAGCUAAGUGGAGG